CGGGAAUUUUUCAACAUGUUGAAAAAUGUCCACGAGAGCCCCGAAUACCGACGAGUGGCCAUUACCCUAAAUCUCCGAGUUCGAAUCAGGACAAACUCGGGAGAGCUCUUGGAAUGAACUCGUACCACGGGACAGGGGUUUUAGUAUGCGGGGAUCGCUGGUCGGCGCGGACUCGGUGCACCGAAGGUCCUGUUUCCGCACUGCACCUCAACUAAAACAUUAACUGUACUAAACUACUGCCUGUGGCAUUUCCAGAUCUCCUCGAGUGGGGACAUCUAGCCCAAAACAUAAUGUUUGGAGCUGCCACAAAACAUUAUGCUUCAGUGGGGUUAGCUAAACUCCAGGGAGAAGCACAACUGGUCCAUAAACAAGAUAUCUAUAGGAAUGAACUGUAGAUGCUGGUUUAAACCGAAGGCCAGUAUCAUUGUCUAUAUCUCUCGUUUCCCUUUCCCCUGACUCUCAGUCUGAAGAAGGGUCUCAACAUGAACAAGACAACGUGCUUUGUCCCUGUUACUCCUCACUACACUGACAAACCCGUGCAAACAAAACGUGUCGGAAGGGACUGCAGAUGCCGGCCUGAGUCUGAACUAGAAGUCCAACCCCCGAAACAUCACCCAUCCUUUUUCUCCAGAUUUUCUGCCUGACUCGCUGAGUUACUCCAGCACUUUGUGUCUAUCCAGUGGGCAAAUCUUAAUCUGUGUAAUUCAGUACCAAUCUCUUCCAAAUGCUCACUUCUGAACAAAUUAUCAAUAGCUUUGCCAGGAUGGAUUGAGUUACUUCAUGUUUUGUUUCUGUUGGCUAUUCUGAUAGUUGAGAGGAGUGUGUUUUUAACCAUGGAUAUUCAAUCCUAUUGUUGCAAGCUGUGUGUGAUUAUUUUAAACUGAUAAUACCUUGACACAGUGCUUUUUCUGCAUUUUUGUGAGCUAUGCUUUUGUGCUAAUAAUAUGUUUGGCUUAGUCUAUUGUAUUGUUAGCACUUCACCAUUAAUUCGCUCCUUUUCUUUCUUCUGUUGGCUCAGGUACAUUUCCCAAAGCAUUGAAGACUUAUUAAUGAUUUGACUGAGUCUGAAGUGCUGAGCAUAAUAGAUGAGACACCAGUUAAACACCUCCUUUGGAAAUGGCCUGCAAGCUUAUUCUUCUUAAUCGGUCAAACGGUGAGCUUCACGUCUGCCUUGGAGAGGGUUCCAACCCAGAGAAUUCAGAAGUUUGGUGACACUCGCUUCUCUCUCAUAGUUGUUAGUAACAAAUCGAGCUGCCUGUCUUUGGACACGUUCGAAUGUAUUAUUGAUAAAAUUGUUAAUAUUUUAAUUUGAUAACUUUGUUUGUAAACUGCCAAUAAAGGUAUUCUUUGAUCCUG